UCGAUCCCUAUACCUUCAAUGUUGGCCGUUUUCCCACUCUUCCGUGACGUCAUCGCGGACCUGGAUGUGUAAGAAGCUUGUGUAUUCUUAUGGAGCUUGUGCGUUCAUUUAAUAAAUUUGUGUUAUAUCUUCUUUCUUAAACUUUUAGCAGUAGUGUGUGUAAAUUGUAGAACUUUUUUGAAUCUUUGUGCACUAUUUGUAGUAAUAAUAAUGUGAUGAGAUGCCGUGGCGCCGUUCUACUAUGUAUGGCUUUAAUAACAGCCGUAUUUCAACGAAAACGGAUAAUCCGGAAAUAGUUUACCAUAAUUUUCCCAAGGAAAAACAUUAGGUUUGCCUCCACGAAAACUUCUUAAAACAACUGCUGUGCCAUCAUUAUUUCUUCCAAACAAACCACAGGAUGUAACAAGUUUACGGACACAAAGAUAUAAUAAAAAAAGGAAAUGGAAGAAGAGUUACAAAGAAAAGAGGAAGAACCGAUAUAUCGAUGUAUCGACAGCGUUUCAGAUCGCUGUGUACCUUUAUGAUUUUAUAUCAAUUAAUAAUCAUUCUUUUUAUUUAAUGUGUAAUAUAAUAAAAUUAUGUUGAUAAAAAUAAAUUUAAUUUUCAAUAAGCAAAAAUUAGUAGCACUGAAAGAAAAUAAAGUCGGUUCCAUCUUAUAAGAAGACAAAC